UGGGGAAUAUUGGACAAUGGGCGCAAGCCUGAUCCAGCCAUGCCGCGUGAGUGAUGAAGGCCCUAGGGUUGUAAAGCUCUUUUGUGCGGGAAGAUAAUGACGGUACCGCAAAAAUAAGCACCGGCUAACUACGUGCCAGCAGCCGCGGUAAUACGUAGGGUGCGAGCGUUAAUCGGGAAUUACUGGGCGUAAAGCGUGCGCAGGCGGUUCGCUAAGUCUGAUGUGAAAGCCCCGGGCUCAACCUGGGAAUGGCAUUGGAAACUGGCGAGCUUGAGUGUGGCAGAGGGGGGUGGAAUUCCACGUGUAGCAGUGAAAUGCGUAGAGAUGUGGAGGAACACCGAUGGCGAAGGCAGCCCCCUGGGCUAACACUGACGCUCAGGCACGAAAGCGUGGGGAGCAAACAGGAUUAGAUACCCUGGUAGUCCACGCCCUAAACGAUGAGAACUAGCCGUCUGGAGUCUUCGUGCUCUGGGUGGCGCAGCUAACGCGUGAAGUUCUCCGCCUGGGGAGUACGGCCGCAAGGUUA
rnacentral:rRNA from 1 species